GGUGAACGCUGGCGGCGUGCCUAACACAUGCAAGUCGAUCGGAGCAGCAAUGCUUAGAGGCGAAACGGGUGAGGAAAACGUAGUAACCAACCCUUUAGACUGGGAUAGCCACUGGAAACGGUGGGUAAUACCGGAUAAGCUCGAGAGAGGAAAGGCAGAGAAGCGACUAAGGACGGAACUGCCGCCCCAUCAGAUAGUUGGUGAGGUAAAGGCUUACCAAGUCAAAGACGGGAAACCGACGUGAGAGCGUGUACGGUCACAAGGGCACUGAGAGACGGGCCCUACUCCUACGGGAGGCAGCAGGUGGGGAAUAUUGGACAAUGGACGAAAGUCUGAUCCAGCGACGCCGCGUGGAGGAAGAAGUCCUUCGGGAUGUAAACUCAUGAAGCUAACGAAUAAGACGGAAGGGGAACCUUCCGGGAGAAGGUAAUUAGUGAAAAGCCCCGGCUAACUACGUG
rnacentral:rRNA from 1 species